GAUGAUAACGAACUGAUUAAAAGAUGGCCUUAGUUAUUAUUAUGUGGAAAUCAAUUUCUCUGGAAUCGCUAAAGUGGAUGGAUAAUGUUCAUCUAAAGCGAAUGGUCACCAUUAGAAAUAUAUGUACUGCAAUUAAUCUAUAAAGAGUGAGCUUGAAAAUACAAUUUUGGAGAAAAGGCGUAAAGGCAGUUGAUUGUCGUUCAAAUCCAGUUCAUGUUUUUGCCCGAAAAUAGUUCAAGUGAAACAACUGGAAAGAAGGUAUGGAAUAAGGAUCUCCUAUAAGGAGAACGUAGAGACGAGGGUGUCACAAGCGAGAAACAGGUGGAAGGCUAAUGCCCGGAAACGCCUUGUGCACUUCCUACUAAGCGUGGGAAUUUAAUUAAAACGGCAGCAACGAUCACGGCAAGGUGUCUUGGAAAUAAUUCAGUGAUGGUGUCCAAUUUCUUAUUUGGAAAUCAAGUGACUAGUUUUGGCCGCACACUAGUCGAAGUCUUAAGUCGAAGAAAAAAAAGAAUUGGCUUGAGGAAUCGAAGCCAAAAUUGGAGAAGAAGAAGAAGAAAAAGAAGAAAUCAAGUGAGAAGGGCCGAUAAAUCGAAAAGGCAGUAGAAGAAUUGGCCUUAGUAGUGAAAACCAUAAAUCGAAGAAAUAGAAGAAGAAAUCAAGUGAAAAAGUGAAUUUUUGGUCAAUCUCAAUAAAGCCUCUGCGCCUGUUUCAGGUGUUAUAGUGAUAGUGUGAAAGUGUGAAAGUGUGAAAUUUGUGAAAGUGUUUGAAGAUGAAGUAAUUCAUGUACCGUCAACCUCCAGCAAAGUAAUUUGGAUGGACGACCCAUCCGGCGAAGGAUAUGACAAAGUGAGUCCCUCUUGUCUCCAAUAUGGUAGGAGGAGAUAAGUUGUAAUAACGUAUUUUGAGUGUCCAAUGAUCCUGUCAACUUAAAACAAUAUAUGUUCAAGCUCAAAAUUAAUUAGUUAAUUUAAAAACACAGGGUUGCUUCGCAACCUGGAAACCAGGAAAACCUGUAAACGUUAGGGAAUUUUAUAAAUCUUUAAAAAAUCUGGAAA